rnacentral:misc_RNA from 1 species
UAUGAAGAACGUAGCGAAAUGCGAUAAGUAAUGUGAAUUGCAGAAUUCAGUGAAUCAUCGAAUCUUUGAACGCACAUUGCGCCCGCCAGUAUUCUGGCGGGCAUGCCUGUUCGAGCGUCAUUUCAACCCUCAAGCCCAGCUUGGUGUUGGGGAUCGGCACAGGCGCCCUCGGGCGCCCGCCGUCCCCUAAAUCUAGUGGCGGUCCCGCUGCAGCCUCCUCUGCGUAGUAGUUUUCUCCUCGCAAGGGCAGCUCGGUGGCGACCUCGCCGUAAAACCCCCAACUUCUGAAAGGUUGACCUCGAAUCAGGUAGGAAUACCCGCUGAACUUAAGCAUAUCAAUAAGCGGAGGA